UACAGGGGGGGCAAGCGUUGUUCGGAAUUACUGGGCGUAAAGGGCUCGUAGGCGGCCAAUUAAGUCCGACGUGAAAUCCCCAGGCUUAACCUGGGAACUGCGUCGGAUACUGAUUGGCUUGAAUCCGGGAGAGGGAUGCGGAAUUCCAGGUGUAGCGGUGAAAUGCGUAGAUAUCGGGAGGAACACCAGUGGCGAAGGCGGCUUCCUGGCCUGUUCUUGACGCUGAGGCGCGAAAGCUAGGGGAGCAAACGGG
rnacentral:rRNA from 1 species